rnacentral:tRNA from 1 species
GCCGGAGUGGGCAAAUUGGAAAAGCUACCGUACUCAGAAUGCGGGGACUGCGGGUUCGACUCCCGCCUCCGGUA